rnacentral:rRNA from 1 species
GAUCCUGGCUCAGGAUGAACGCUGGCGGCGUGCUUAACACAUGCAAGUCGAACGAAGCACCUGGUUACGAUCCCUUCGGGGUGACGACCUUGUGACUGAGUGGCGGACGGGUGAGUAACGCGUGGGAAACCUGCCAUGUACUGGGGGAUAACAGCUGGAAACGACUGCUAAUACCGCAUAAAACUGUUGGGUCGCAUGAUCUGAUAGCCAAAACUCCGGUGGUACAUGAUGGUCCCGCGUCUGAUUAGGCAGUUGGCGGGUAACGGCCCACCAACCGACGAUCAGUAGCCGACCUGAGAGGGUGACCGGCCACAUUGGGACUGAGACACGGCCCAGACUCCUACGGGAGGCAGCAGUGGGGAAUAUUGCACAAUGGAGGAAACUCUGAUGCAGCGACGCCCGCGUGAGCGAUGAAGUAUUUCGGUAUGUAAAGCUCUAUCAGCAGGGAAGAUAAUGACGGUACCUGACUAAGAAGCACCGGCUAAAUACGUGCCAGCCGCAGC